rnacentral:rRNA from 1 species
UGAGGAAUUUUGGUCAAUGGGCGAGAGCCUGAACCAGCCACGUCGCGUGAAGGAAGACUGACCUUACGGUUUGUAAACUUCUUUUGUAGAGGGGUAAUGGCAGAUACGUGUAUUUGCGUGAAAGUACUCUACGAAUAAGCAUCGGCUAACUCCGUGCCAGCAGCCGCGGUAAUACGGGGGAUGCGAGCGUUAUCCGGAAUUAUUGGGUUUAAAGGGUGCGCAGGUGGCUAAUCAGGUCAGUGGUGAAAAGCUAUGGCUCAACCAUGGUCUUGCCAUUGAAACCGUAUAGCUAGAGAGGAGACGAGGUAGGCGGAAUGUGUGGUGUAGCGGUGAAAUGCAUAGAUAUCACACAGAACUCCGAUUGCGAAGGCAGCUUACCAGGCUUUAUCUGACACUUAGGCACGACAGCGUGGGGAUCAAACAGG